ensembl:lncRNA
UGGGGAUCAGCUGCCCUAAACAGCAGCUGCCCUCCGGCACCUUCACGCUGUGCAUACGUACACAUGGCCCCAGGCUUGGGUGGCUUUUUUUUGGCUUCCUUUGUGGCUCAAGUGGCUGAACACCACUUGUCCCACUAAGCGUCCUGUGACCCUUCAGUCUGCCCACCUCACCCCACCCACUCAGCACAGUGGAACCUGGUCAGCCCAUCACCUGAGACCUGGCAACUCAGCCUAAUCACACCUCCUCCGGGAAGCCACCCCAGGCCUGGAUGCUCCAUGAGUGAAGACCAAGAUUGUGUUUCUAAACCAUUGCCUCACCAGUGCCUAGAACAGAGCUUAGGCACAAACUCAGCCCUCAGACGUGUGUGCAUGAAUGACCCUGAGGCACUGCUGUGGGCUGGACCCUAUGCUGGAUGCUGAGAUUACAGAGACCAGGCCCAGAGGCUGCUGGGAAAGAGGGUCGUGAGGGGCAUCGAGGAGGGGUCCUGGACCCAACCGAAGGACAAGAGGACAAGGAGGAGUUCGCCAGCUGGAGAGCAGUGAUGGAGCGGGUCCUGAAACUGGGCUGAGCUAAUGCAUGAAUGUGUGGAGGGUCUGUCUCCUUCUCCACAGCUCCAGCUCCAUGAGGGCAAGGCAGACAUCUGCACUCUUGUCUCCCGCUUGGUGCUUGGGGGAAUGUUGGGUCCCUUCUCUGCAGCCAAAGAGUAGUUUUAGUUGAUGGAUCUUCCUUCUCAGCGUGGAACAUGGCUGGUCUCCCGUGCUCCUCACUGCAUGGCUUGUGCCCUCUGUUCUCAGCUCUACUUUCAGGCCCUUGCCUGGGAAAGCUGCAUCUUUUCCCACCUGAGCUACACCCUCUGCCUCCCACCCACUCCACGGUUCCCUGCCCCUCACCUUCUCUGCUCAGCCCACUCACCUGGCUCUGACCAUCUCAGUGGGUGGGUGCCAGCGUGUACCCGCUUCCCAUGAGAUUUGUUGAUUUCAUAACCAUAAAUAGAUGAAAUGUUCUGAAUGCUUCCCUAGGCAAGGAGAAUUGGGGGAGUGAUAACAUAAUGAAAGGACCUUAAGAGAAAGAAAACAGCCUGCUAAGAGGCAGCCUUUGCACAAACCAGCUCUAUACGAGGAUUAUGUUUUUACUGCAGGCGGGUAGACUCUAGACCCAGGAUGGGGGAGGUACUUGGGAAGCUGUUCAUCUUCACAUGGUUUCAAACUCAUGGAUUCAAAAGAACAACCUAGUUGAUAGUGGAAAGAAGAAGAAAUCAGGAAAUUUGGGUUCAAAUUCUGGGUUUAUCUCAUUCUAUUUCAUAGCUGUCUGACUGCACAAGUUACUAAAUCUCUCUGAGAAAGUGUAUAGAGAUUCUUCCCCUGGGUUAGACUGGAGGCUUUACAAGGCCUGAGACUCCACAGGCCUAUCAUUUUCCUCCCACCAGCACAUUCUGUCUUCCCGUUAAUACCUUAAUCGCCACCCAAAGUGUGGUCCUGAGGCUGUGGUUGGGUUAGGAUGAAAUGGAUGUCCUGACUCUUCAUUGCUAACUCCAACUCAUAUUGUCAGGGGAAUAGGAUGUGGAACAUCACUCCUGCAUGGGAAGGCUCCAUCUACACGGCUACAGAGGGACUAGAAGCUAGUAAGGACCUAGCCCAUAGGGCUUCCCAAUCUCUUCACUCUUAAGGAGCACAGGGACACCACUGCUCCGUAGCAUUUAGAAGAGUGAAAGGAGAUGAAAUGACAUUUUAGUAUGCCCUGGGCCCAGAGAGCUUCUAGGUGAGAGAGAGGCAGGCAAGCAAAAAUAUUCCUAGUGUGAAUUCAUCCUCUACUCCAAAAGAAAGUCUUUUUUCUGUUAAGGGUCAGUUAGUAAAUAUUUUAGGUUUUCAGGCCAUAUGGUCUCUGUUGCAACUGUUCA